UACGGAGGCCCCAAGCGUUGUUCGGAUUUAUUGGGCGUAAAGGGUGCGUAGGCGGCGUAGUAAGUCUGGUGUGAAAGGCGUGGGCUCAACCCGCGGACUGCAUUGGAUACUGCUAUGCUAGAGGACUGGAGAGGAGAAUGGAAUUCACGGUGGAGCAGUGAAAUGCGUAGAUAUCGUGAGGAAGGCCAGUGGCGAAGGCGAUUCUCUGGACAGUACCUGACGCUGAGGCACGAAGGCUGGGGGAGCGAACAGG
rnacentral:rRNA from 1 species